GAUGAAGAACGUAGCGAAAUGCGAUAAGUAGUGUGAAUUGCAGAAUUCAGUGAAUCAUCGAAUCUUUGAACGCACAUUGCGCCCUUUGGUAUUCCUUAGGGCAUGCCUGUUCGAGCGUCAUUUAAACCUUCAAGCUCAGCUUGGUGUUGGGUGACUGUCCCCGCCUCCGCGGGGACUCGCCUCAAAAUCAUUGGCGGCCGGUACGUUGGCUUCGAGCGCAGCAGAAACGCGAACUCGAGGCCCGGCGGAUCGGCGACCAGAAGUCUCUUCUUCACAGUUUGACCUCGGAUCAGGUAGGGAUACCCGCUGAACUUAAGCAUAUCAAUAAGCGGAGGA
rnacentral:misc_RNA from 1 species